GCGACGGUGGUGUAGUGGAAAGCACACUCGACGCCACGGACACUUCCUCUAAGGCUGUGACUGGGCUGAGAGCGACAAGGGUUCGAAUCCCUUCCCUCGCA